rnacentral:rRNA from 1 species
AGAGUUUGAUUAUGGCUCAGGACGAACGCUGGCGGCGUGCCUAAUACAUGCAAGUCGAGCGAAGUUUUUCUGGUGCUUGCACUAGAAAAACUUAGCGGCGAACGGGUGAGUAACACGUAAAGAACCUGCCUCAUAGACUGGGACAACUAUUGGAAACGAUAGCUAAUACCGGAUAACAGUAUUUCUCGCAUGAGAGAUAUUUAAAAGUUGGUUAUGCUAACACUAUGAGAUGGCUUUGCGGUGCAUUAGCUAGUUGGUGGGGUAAAGGCCCACCAAGGCGACGAUGCAUAGCCGACCUGAGAGGGUGAUCGGCCACACUGGGACUGAGACACGGCCCAG